AGAGUGCCCAGAACUUAGCUCAAUGUAUGUUAACAAGUAAUGGAAAUCUCUACUCAAACUGACUCGAACAUUUAGAAGAUGUAUUACAUAUUUUUUUAACAGGAAGCCGAGAGGCAGAGUAGGCGCCAUGGUUGGUUGACUGAGCAGGACGACACUGUCAUCAUCUCUCCAUUCUGCCAUCCUGAGUGGAGGCUUCGUUUUCAGGCUGGUUGCAAGAUGGCUACAGAAGCUCCUAACAUCACAACAAGAGAUAUGGGAUUAACUGGCAAACCAAGCCCUCACUCAGCGCGGUCCAAUGGUAGGUGCCUUGAUUUAAAAUAAUGUGCAUUUUUCAUAUUGAAUUUAGUUUUUCAAGAUAACUUAUUUUUCCAAAAAUAAAAAUUGAUUUAGUGCCUUUGGAUUUGCUGGGCACUAGUUCAGGUUCGUCUUUCGUUUUCAUCUGCAGGGUCCUCAAGGUUCAAGAGUUGCGAGAGGCCCCACUGGGAAACCCAGGC
rnacentral:lncRNA from 1 species